CACAAAGUCGCUGACUCCUCUAGAUAACCUUUUAGCCAGGCUUUCGAGGGAGAUAAUUUUAUGGGAAUAUGGGCCAGAGAUGAGGAGCUAUUGCUUGCCAGCUCCCAGCCCCUGCUUGGGCAGGGGGCGUCUUGUGCUGCCACCUAAGAUGUGUGAAUUUACAGGGCUGCCACUGUCCAGAACCCCUAAACAACAAAGCUGCCGCCGGGCCAGCUUCCUGCACACCAGUUUCAGGUUCUACUGCUCAGGGAAUUUCCAUUUGAAAUGUGGAGCUGCGCAAGUGGUCCACACGUCCCCCUCCCUGCGAUCCCAGCAAGCUGUGGGGAUGAUGGCAGCCCUGCGUCUAACAUCCCCAUCAUAGUGAAUUGCUACUUAUAGAAUCGUAGAGUUGGAAGGGACACCAACAAUCUUCUAGUCCACUCCCUGUGAGGAAGUAUAAGUAUCAUCUCUGCUCUUCUUUGCCCUCCCCUCCUGGAUCGCCGCCUCUGAAGACGCUUUCUUCCAGAAGAAGGCACCUGGGGCAUCAGCAAAACAUCCUCUGCAGGAGAGGCAAGCUCUGGAGGCAUCUGCAAAGGCCCUGCCAUAGUCUGCAAAAAACUAAAUAAUGUGAGGAACCAGUGAAACCAAUGCUUCAUGCACCACAUGGGGACGCUAUUCAGGCCGGAAAUUGCUGCCAGAGGCCAUCAAAUUCUCAAGGAAAGCCCUAGGAUCACCUGCUAGGCCAGACAUAAAAUGUUUCGCAGGGAAGGCCUGCCAGGCUAACAAGGCCAAAACCAGCCCUUUAAAGAAUAGGGUGGGGGGGGAGCUCAUGGCAAGGCCUCCCAAGGGCCUGGCAAUGCGGGAGGCACCCCCCGCCGCGGUGCGGCACCAGGCGCCGCCAAAAAAGGCCUAAAAAACGGCCGCCCAAGGCCAGGCCGAGGCUGCUGCGCCCUCAGCCAGGCCCACCCUUCACCCAGGACUGGCAGAAAAGGGGCAGCCGGGGCAACGAAUUAAAGAAAACAGGCCUUGGAGAGGCCUGUCACCAAAUUAGAAGACCCAAUGUUAAGGUAAGCUAAAGGGGGGGGGAGUAGGGGGGAAUUAAAGACCAAAGGGGGGUGGGAAAGCAGAGUAAAAUUAAAAGAAAAUAUUACACGGAAAAAGGAAAUUUAAUAGGACUAAAAUAUCAAUUAAAUAUAAGCUAACGCAAUUAAAGCAGGCCAAAGACACAAGGUAAUUUGUAGAAAAAUACAACCGUCUCCUUUCGCUGUGAUCAAUCCGAUACACGGUCGAAAAGAGGAAGCCCUAGCCUUGUGCAAGGAGUUUUAGCAUUUCUGGCUGUCAAUCAACAAAUGGCAACAUUAACUUCCUCCCAACAACAAGGGAAGCCCCAAUCGCAUCAGUGGCCAACAAACAAUUAGCCCACCCUCAACUUUGGAGUGUCCUGGCGGUCCCCACCGCAACACGUGCUCUCCAUGAAGGAGAACACGCUUUGUGUGUUUCAUGAAUUUAAGAUAAAAUGCAGACUCUAUUUUUCUCUCAAGAGGUGAAGAAUAAUGCAAAUAGUUUCCUUACUUAAAAUUCUAUCCAUAUACCUUACUUUUUAGAGAGUUAUUCCUUUAAUUACUCCAAACGUAAGAGAUUUGGGAGAGAAAAUGGACAUGCAUUUAAAAUAACCAUUCCUUAAGUAUUUUGAAUGGAAUGUAUUCAUCUCCAUUGCGGCCUCCAGAGCGGCUUGAAUCAAGGGCAGAAUGACAGAGCUAACUCCCCAUUCCUUUUACGGAUAUUUAAAGAGCCUAUCCAUUCGGCUAUUGAACUUGGCACUGUGCAGCACUUUUCGUACUCCAUAUAUCUCAGAGUGCUUUAUAAAGUAAUGAGUAGUUACUAGUAGUACAGCAACUGUACAGGCAAGCAAGGUGACCAUUACUCAUUCUGCAGUAGCAUAGGCACAUGUAGCCUCAGUCAUUAGAAACAGGUUCUCUGGAGCAGAAUCUUGGCCAAGACAGGAAGCUUAUUCCCAUCUCCAGCAAAGUAGCCUCUAAUUUUUAUGUUAGGAGAAAGGGAAAAUUGAGGUUUUUCCUUACCACCCGGCUAUAAUUCAUUUGGGAAGCAUGCCAUUACUUUUGAACUCUUCUAUGAUCCACAGAAAGAGGAUAGGGAAUUAGGAUAAUGUGUGUUUUGCAGGAAAUUGCCUAUCAAUCUAUUCCUAUAGUGUAUUCAUAUUUUAUCAGCCGGAGGUCUAAGGGAACUUGCCUCUCCCUCCAAAACUGCCACACAAGCACCCAACCUUCCGACUUACAGAAAGGAAGCUUUCUGUGUGUGUAAAUGGGAGACUUGAUGGGCCGAGAAGGUGAAGAGCUUUGAUUCAAGGAAUGUGAUUCUAGAGUACUAGAAGUGAGGCAGCUGCAAUAGAGGAGCAGGCACCACAAGGACCUGUUGAAGCUGUUGGGGUGCAUUCUAAAAGUUGCAAAAUUAUGUCAGCCUAUGAUUGGGGAUGAAUGCUAAAUAGUUGGUUUCUCUCUCUCUCUCUCUCUCUCUCUCUCUCUCACACACACACACACAGAGCUAGACUUUGACUUCAGUGAAGUCAGAAUCAUAACAUUUGUUGCUGUGAGCUUUACAAAAUACUACACAUAUAAUUUGGUGUAUGCAGCCAAGUUUGCAGUCUUAAGUAUAUUUAUUAUGAAGCAAUUCCAUCUGAAAUGAAGCUUCAACCAAAUGUCAAGUAAACACAAGUAGGAUGACACUGAAAUGAACAUUCAUAUUCUGUGUAAUGCUUUUGCAACUCAGAAAUGGUUGUGCUUCUCUUGAGUUCUGUUUCUCAAGCCAGGGCUAUUUCUCUAGUCCAACAACUCAUGGAAACCACAGUUCCUGCUCUGUGUUACCUUACUAUUACCUACAGGGAUGAUGAUAAUAAUAACCCAAUUUAUUGUACCUUUCUCCUCCGGAAUCCCAAGAGGACAAGGCUAAAACAAUAAAUGCAUCACAAUGGUGCUCAGAGAGUCUCAGAUGUACCGAAGCACACUAUAUAACUGUUAAAAGACUUGCAUAUAUAUCCCACACUGCACAUUUCAGCUCUUCCACAUUAGUAGGCAAGCAUAAAGCAAAGUCACAGGAUUAAGAUUAUGCCAGGACCUACCAGUGUCUAACAUUUAUAUAAUCAGCUUGCUUAAAUGGGGAUAAAAGUAGUAAUUACCUAGCAACUUUAGUAAGUACAAGAAACAGAUUCGAAAGCCAAGGAAGGUUCACGGAGAUAACAGAUUGUAAGGCAAUAGAGGUAUCCCAAAAGGCUUGUGAAUGCAGCCAAUGGUUAAUCUUGUUACAAUGACAGAUUUUAUCUCAAUUGUUUGUUCAAAGGAUUUUCUGAGGCAUGCAGGCUGAUGGGAAUUGGGGCACUUCCAAAGAGCAGCCGCCGCCUCCAUUUUCAUUUGCAUAAGUCUCUGUGGCUACAAAAACAGGCACAGGCUUAACUCUUUCAAAUGAAUGUCAUAUAUAUAUAUAUAUAUAUAUAUAUAUAUAUUUCCCAUAAUAGUGACUCAAGGGACAUACAAAGGACGCCACACACAGACGCAGAAGCAAGGAAACUUGACAACUGACACAUGUGAGCCAUUCUGAAUUGGACUGAUGCUCUGCAGGUGCCAGGAAGUGAGGAGCGAAAAGGGAAAGGGGGGGAGGGUCCUACCAACAUAUCCAAAAUUAAAAAAUAUUCCAUACCUCACGGUGCUUUGAGCCAUAGAAAAUUUCACUGGGGCAGCCUUUUACAGGAUCGUUUCAUAUGAGAAUAGAGUGCUGGGGGUGAUGUUUUGAUGCAUGUGUUUUCAUAAUUCAUGUUUAGAUAAAUUGAGAACAGUACUUCUUCACACAGCACAGUUAAACUAUGGAAUUUAGACCCACAAGAUGCAAUGGUGGCCAGCAGCCCACAUGGUGGCCCUCCAGAAGUUUUGGGACUACAAUUCCCAUAAUCCCUUACCACUGGUCCUGUUAGCUAGGAAUGAUGGGAGUUGUAGUCCCAAAACAUCUGGAGGGCCAAGUUUGGCCAUGUCUGCCCUAGAAAGAUAUAUUUAGCAGUUUGUUUGUUUAUUGUUUAUUGCGUAGAUACCCCACCUUUUUCUUCGAGGAGCUCAAGGAGCCAUACAUAGUUUUCCCCUUCUCCUUUAAUCCCCACAGCAGUCAUGUGAGGUAAGUUAAGGUGAGAGGCAGUGACAGGCCCAAGGUCACCCAGUGAGCUUCAUAGCCAGGUGGGAAUUUGCACCCUCAUCUCCCAGGUCCUAGUCUGACACUAAGAAAUACACCACACUGGCUCCCAAGCUCACCUUCAAGGUUGUAAAACAAAAGAUCCCUGAAGGAGAGAAUGUUUUCAAUCUCUCCAAGUUUGUUGGACAUGGUAGAAUACAAAUUCUUCCUGCAUGUUGAACAGUGAAAAACUAUCCUCAUUACAUUUUUAUUUUUUUUGCAAGUCUCCUGUUAUUUGUUCUGCCUGUGAACCUCUGUCUUGCCUCUGCAAAACUCUUUCAGCAAACUCCCUGGGAAGCCAGUCAGUGAACCAAUCUGGCGGAUGGUGUCAGAGAUUUAAUGCAGCACUCGGCUAGAGAGAAUAAGCAGGGAAGUGGAGAAAGUCCUUACUUUGUGUAUGACAAAAUGAAAUUAUCAGUCUUCCCUCUUUGGGCUGUCAUCUUUUAUAUUCAUAAAAAGAGAGAGCGAGAGUUCAAUGCAGGAUCUUUAGGAAAACAGCCUAAAAGGCAUUGGCAUUGUGCUUUAUUCCACUUGAAGCCUUAUUUAGCAAAUUAGCUGUCCAUUUCUGUGAACAUAUAUAAACCCUGCAUGCAGAUGACAGUCUGGCUGGAGGCAGAAAGAUAAAGUUCUUUAUUGUUCUGCCUAACCCUUCUGGGAAUGAGUUGCCUGCAUAUUAUUAGAUCAGAUUAGAUUUUGAGAUGUAUAACCUCCCUAUUCACAGAGGCUCAGAGAAGAUAACAACUUCAUAAAAAAGCCCAGGAAGCUAAUACAUUGUAUUUUCAAACUUUAUUUUUUAAAAAAUAAAUCACAUACAUAUUUGAGAAAUUAAACUAAGCUGUCCCACCACCGCACCAUCUCAGGCUUCUGCCUCACACCCAAUAGAGACCAGCUCAACAAUCAAAACUGGAACAAUACCUUUUAUUUGCCAGGUUAUAUUUUUGCCUCACACUAGGGGGGCAACAAAUCUCCUAGAAUAUAUUUCUAGUAUGAUCCUUUUUGCACAGGUAGAUUCCUCCUACAACCUAGAGAUGGUUCGUGUCAGUUUUACAUGUGUUCCUUCUGUUACUAAGGAGAAAUCCUAUGCACCAGAAGCUGGCAUAAAGCAAGCUGGUGCAAGUUAAGCAGAUGUAAAGUUACACCAGAUCCACACACUAUUCAGCAGCGGGGCUAUUGCUGGCUGACCUUGUCGAAGUCUGGCAGAGGGAAAACAAGCCUUUAAAACAUGGUUCAAGUUGCACCACCAUUUUGGGUGGUUUAACUUACACCAGGAUUCCAGGCCACAGGACAGAGCUGAAUGGGCUUUGAAUCCAACAUAAGCCUCCCCUCUCUAGUUCCACCCCCAUCACACCCACUUUUUAAGGUUUACACCAACUUCAGAUCCUUCAGGCCCAGCUCAGCUGGUAGGGUCCUGGUUCAGUCAGGCUGGGAGUCAUAUUCUGGCACAUCCCUGAGCUGAGGGCGAGGGAGUUAAGCCGGUGUAACUUGACUGUGCCAGGAACUUCCCAUCUCAGUUGGAAAUCUGUUGGAUACUAACCCCACAGUCAUCCCCGUGGCUCUUGCUGUGGGAUUGCUCCUUGAAUGUGCUAUUUAAAUACAGUGGUACCUCAGGUUACAUACGCUUCAUGUUACAGACUCUGCUAACCCAGAAUAGUGCUUCAGGUUAAGAACUUUGCUUCAGGAUGAGAACAGAAAUCGUGCUCUGGUGGUGCGGCGGCAUCAGGAGGCCCCAUUAGCUAAAGUGGUGCUUCAGGUUAAGAACAGUUUCAGGUUAAGUACAGACCUCCGGAACGAAUUAAGUACUUAACCCGAGGUACCACUGUAUAUAUAUCUGAAGACAUCUGAAGGCAGCCAUGUUUAGGGAAGCUUUAAAUGUUUGAUGCAUUACUGUAUUUUAAUAUUUGUUGGAAGCCGCCCAGAGUGGCUGGGGAAGCCCAGCCAGAUGGGCGGGGUAUAAAUAAAUUAUUAUUAUUAUUAUUAUUAUUAUUAUUAUUAUUAUUAUAUUUAGUUACAUCUUUUAUUCCAAUGUGCACAAUUCUAGGCAGAUUUCAUGAUAAAAUAUUCAGUUUAACACACUUUAGCCCACUUGAGCUGGGAAAGAUAAGGCAAAAGGGGAAGAAAUGUAAAUAGGAACAGAGAGGGCUGCUCUAUGACUCGGACCAUUGGUGCAUUUAGCUUAGUAUCAUCUACACUGACUGGCAGCAGCUCUGUAGGGUCUCAGGCAGGAGUGUUUCUCAGCCUUAUCUGGAGAUGCUUCCAAGCGAACUUUCUGCAUGAAAAACAUGUGCUGUGCCACUGAGCUCUAUCCCUUCUCCUGAAGGAUAAUCACAUUGCAACCCACACAUUAGUCUGCAGAUGGUUUGGAUCAGGUCAGUUCACAAUGGACUUCAGAGAAAUUGAAUUCCUCCUCAAGGAUUCUGACUGCAAACAAUGCUUUUCCCCGCUCUUCCAACCACGUGAGGGAACCAUUAACAUUUCCAGAGCCCCUCUCUACAUCCCUGCUGCUUCCCCGCCUCUCUUAAUAUAUCAAAUAUACUAAAGUAUUCAAAGCACUACACAUUAUACCAGCAAUCCUAAUAACCCCAGUUUAUAAUUCCCAUGUAGUACAGAUGGAGGGGACACUCCAAGUGAGAGCUAGUUGCUUGCCUCAUACCCUCUGGGUGAAUAAAGGAAACAUUUGGACCACAUAAUUUCCAGUUCACUGCUCAUUGCCUUUGCUACAGUAGAUCUUCUGCUUAGAUAAUAGCUAGCAUGGCAAGAAUUCUGCUCAUAUGGAUUACUUUGUCAAUCCUACCACAGCUCAUCCAGGAUCUUAAAUUAGCAUUUCCCCUCCAAAACUUCACUUGCAAGGGGCAAAACUAGGGAUGCAGAAUCUGUGGACUUCAAGAUGUUGGCCUCUAACAGCAUGGCCAGUAGCCAAGAGUGAUGGGCACUGGAGACUAACAAAAUAUCGGGGGACUCAGAUUCCUCAUCCCUGAACUAAAUUAAAAACUUUUCAUAUGAAAAUCAUGUACCCCAUCACUAAUCUAUGGGCACUUCCAGAAAGUCCCAUUUCUUCACUCAAACAAACAGCUGGCGCACUGAUGCAUUUGUGUUACACUUUCAGUAGGAGUCAAAUUAAAGGCUAUCACAUCUCAUCUGGAAUGCUUUUCAGCAGAUGUGAUCCCCAGCAUACAGUCACCAUUAAAUAGAUGAUCAGGCAUAUAAAUGGGUAUUCACAGUAUUCUCUGUGUUUCUGCAAUGCACACUCCACACACGAAAGAAUAACUCCUUUCUUCCCAACUAGAAAACAUACCAUAGACAUACCAGGCUGCUAAUGCUAGCCUUGGACCUGAACCAGCACCUACUAAGCUCAUGCUGGAGAGAAGGUAUGUACCAAAAGUAUAUCAAAUGACCACUUGUGAGGUAAAACCAUUUGCAAAAUGUAGAAGAGAUACAUUUUAUAAACCCCAUUAGGGUAUUUUCAGUGACAGGUUCUAUUAUUGCUAAGUCAGAGAGGUAUAUUAGUUUAGUGCAAUUCACUGGUAGAAAAAAUUAAACAGACAAAUGUCUGAAAUGGAGAAAUCCAUUAAAUCCAUGGAGAAAUCCAUUAUUUCUGGCAGUUUGGGCAAUCUAUUAUUUGGGUAAAGUUUCUGAACACUUUUAUAUUUUAAAAAAAUAUUCAGCACUCUCAAGCUGGUCACUCUUCUAUCACUAUUUCUUUCUCAAAAUUGCAUGUUGACUAUGUCUAAGAAUGAAAUUCUAACCAUGUUUCCUCAGAAGUAAGUCCUACUGAAUUCAGUAGGACUUACUUUGAGGUAAGUGGGGUUAGGAUUUCAGCUUAAGCUAUGGGUUGGGGUUAGGGUGAAAAGAACAAGAGAAUUACGGUAUGUGAUCAAAAGUCAACUCCCAGGUGCCAGUUUUUGUUUCCACUCUUCAUGACAAAGAAAGAAACAGCAAGAGUGUCUACUGUUUUACAAAAACUAGCAAGUAGCUGGGUUUCUAUUCUAUAGGCCAGGGUAGGGGAUUUUUUUGGACUCCAACUUCCGUCAGCCCCAGCAAGAAUGGCCAAUGAUCUAGAAUGAUGGGAGUUGUAGCCCAGAAACAACUGGAAGGCCAAAGAUCCCCCAUUCCUGCUGUAGACAAACUGCCCGAACACCAACAGUGAAAAAUGAGUGAACAAGGAGAAAAAUCAUUUUCCUGCUUUUCGCCAUAUGAACCUACCCAAGAUCCUGAGAACAACACCUAAAGAUCUUCUCUGUGUGCCCCUCUGGUAAACUGCAGUGAGAGCAUGGGUCUUUUCUGUGGUAACCCCCAAAUGGUGGAAUGAUCUCUCCAGGGAAACCCACCCAGCACUGUAUUUGUCAUCUUUCCAGCACCAGGCAAAAAUGUUAUUUAUUCCCCUGGACAUUUGGACAGCACAUUUGUUGGCUACUGGAAUUCAUCCUGUGUGGAGGGAAUAGAUACAUUGUGCUGCUUUAGAUGACUUUUUCUUUGGAUGAAUACUUCUCUUCUCUUCUCUUCUCUUCUCUUCUCUUCUCUUCUCUUCUCUAUAACCCAUCUUUUCCUCAGACAUAUUUCCCUGACAUAUUUAAUAUUUUCUAUUUUGUUCAUAUAAAUCACUUUAGGGUGCCUCAAGAUGUGCAAAGUGAUAUACAAUGGUACCUCGGAAGUCGAACGGAAUCCGUUCCGGAACUCCGUUUGACUUCCAAAAUGUUUGGAAAACAAGGCGCGGCAUCCAAUUGGCUGUAGGCAGCUCCUCAAGCCAAUUGGAAGCUGCAGAAGCUGCGUCGGAUGUUCGGGUUCCAAAGAAUGUUUGCAAACUGAAACACUCACUUCCGGGUUUGCGGCAUUCGGGAGCCAAAACAUUCGACUUGCAAGGCAUUCGUGAAUCAAGGUACAACUGUAUAAUUGUAACUAACCUCUCUCAGUGCUACACAAUUCAAUUACACAAUGUCAAACAUUGGCUUUUUAACAUUGUAACCACCACAGCAUUGCUGUUGUUAAUGUAUGUAAAGUACUUAUUAUUAUUUCAGUAAUCAUUAUUAUCUAACUAUAAGUAUUACUAUCCAAAUAUUUACAGAUGGAGAUGCAUAUGUGCUGAAAUGUAGAAAACAGGAGCUUGCCUAAAGCUACCAUGAGCUGCCGUCUAUGCCUCAUUCUUCAAAGCAGCCAGGAGCAAUGUUCUUCCUAAGCUUAUCUUACAUCUUACAUCAGCAAAGGAAGGAAAGGUCCAUUCUCUUCAGGCCAGGGGUUCUUGAGGAAUGCAAACGCUGUACAUUGUGGGCCCAGGUGCAGUGAAGCCACGGGCAGAGGACUGAGGCAUGGUGAAGUUGCAAUAAACACAAGACAACUGCUUGGGACUUAAACAGGCCACAGCUUUUUAAACAACAGGUGUGUAUCCUGAAUUAACCAACCUACCUGCUGGUUGAUUAUUUAGCAGAAUUUAUCAAGGUUAAGGAUCACCCGAUGACAUACAUCAAAUUAGGGUGAACAGGAUUUAACAAGAUACCCUAACUAGGGUGAAGAAGCCUCACAUUUAGAUCUACAUAGCCAGCUGAUAACCUUUGGCCAGUCACAAUCUUCCAACACAACGUACCUCAUAUAGUUGUGGGGAUAAAAUGGGAGAGAGGAGCAGACACGUAUACCCUGAGCACCUUGGAGUUAGGACAACAUGAAAAUGUAAAUAAAUACUUAUCCAACUACACUGCUAAUUUUAUACCCAUGCAUAAAUGAAUUAACUAUUUAUGUGUGCACCAUCCGCCAUGACUGCCUAGCCGAUAUUGUUUCCAGUGAACCUGUUUAUUCAUCCUUAUUUGUUUGGACAAAAUUUACAGGGAGGUUAUACAACACUGGCUGCUUACUGGGCAUUCAUUUGGAUUUAUUUGCAAAAAGCCUUUGUCAUGCUGCCUCAAGCAAUUGUCCCCAUACUUUCAAUGCAUUUAAUAACAACAACAACAACAACAAUUUAUUAUUUAUACCCCGC
rnacentral:lncRNA from 1 species